UAGACCUUCACCCAAUCAUUUUUCAUUAAAUGACUGUCCGGUGCUUUGGACGUCUGCCAUUAACUCUGGCUCGUCUUAAAUGUCUAAGUGGAGCGAUGGCAUGAUAAGUCAUUUGCCUGACCCGUCCACUAUAAUAACACUUAAAG
rnacentral:misc_RNA from 1 species